CUGACAUGGUUAUGUUAACAAAAAGUUCUUAAAGUGAUGGUUCGGAUUACAUUCACCCUAGGGUCCUUUGCCCCAUGACCUAGAGCCAAAAAACAUGCUAAAAGCUUUUUUCACCUGGGUCAAACAUUUGGCCAUUUGGCAAGUUAGCGUUAUCAGCUGAAUAGCUGAGUGCAGAAGCUAAUGGAACCAACUGUGUAUCUCAUAAAUCACCCCACUAAAAAU